AGCGCCUACGACCGCUGAGUGAGCACGCCGCCCUCUCAAGGCUGUAGCGCGGGUUCGAAUCCCGUCGGGGUUACCA
rnacentral:tRNA from 1 species